rnacentral:tRNA from 1 species
GGUUUGAAGUUUCGGAAACAGUAGAUCUUGAACAUCUGUAAAAACGUUCAACUCGUUCUCAA